UGACCCUGUGCGGGAGAGUCCUCCGGAGAGAAGUCCGGAGGCGCCGAAGGAGCAAAUCCUCCCCGGAAUCUCUCAGGCACCUGUACCGCACGGACGAG
rnacentral:ncRNA from 2 species